rnacentral:rRNA from 1 species
UUGGAGGGCAAGUCUGGUGCCAGCAGCCGCGGUAAUUCCAGCUCCAAUAGCGUAUAUUAAAGUUGUUGCAGUUAAAAAGCUCGUAGUUGAAUUUCGGGAUUCGUCCAUUGGUCAGGCUUAACUGUCUGUACUGGUGUGUCGGAUUUCUACCUUCUGAAGAACCUUCAUGCCAUUAAUUUGGUGUGUUGGGGAAUCAGGACUGUUACUUUGAAAAAAUUAGAGUGUUUAAAGCAGGCUAACGUCUGAAUACAUUAGCAUGGAAUAAUGAAAUAGGACGGUACGGUUCUAUUUUGUUGGUUUCUAGGAUCGCCGUAAUGAUUAAUAGGGAUAGUUGGGGGCAUUAGUAUUCAAUUGUCAGAGGUGAAAUUCUUGGAUUUAUUGAAGACUAACUACUGCGAAAGCAUUUGCCAAGGAUGUUUUCAUUAAUCAAGAACGAAAGUUAGGGGAUCGAAGACGAUCAGAUACCGUCGUAGUCUUAACCAUAAACUAUGCCGACUAGGGAUUGGACGAUGUUAAUUUUUUAAUGACUCGUUCAGCACCUUACGGGAAACCAAAGUGUUUGGGUUC